CCUACGGGGUGCUGCAGUGAGGAAUAUUGGUCAAUGGGCGCGAGCCUGAACCAGCCAAGUAGCGUGAAGGAUGACUGCCCUACGGGUUGUAAACUUCUUUUAUAAAGGAAUAAAGUGAGGCACGUGUGCCUUUUUGUAUGUACUUUAUGAAUAAGGAUCGGAUAACUCCGGUCCAGCAGCCGCGGUAAUACGGAGGAUCCGAGCGUUAUCCGGUUUUAUGUGGUUGAAAGGGAGCGUAGAUGGGUUGUUAAGUCAGUUGUGAAAGUUUGCGGCUCAACCGUAAAAUUGCAAUUGAUACUGGCAGCCUUGAGUACAGUUGAGGUAGGCGGAAUUCGUGGUGUAGCGGUGCAAUGCUUAGAUAUCACGAAGAACUCCGAUUGCGAAGGCAGCCUACUAAACUGCCACUGACAUUGAUGCUCGAAAGUGUGGGUAUCAAACAGGAUUAGAUACCCCAGUAGUC
rnacentral:rRNA from 1 species